rnacentral:rRNA from 1 species
GAUGAACGCUGGCGGCGUGCCUAACACAUGCAAGUCGAACGGACAUUUUUUGGAAAGCUCUUCGGAACUGGAAUCUAAAUGUUAGUGGCGGACGGGUGAGUAACGCGUGAGCAAUCUGCCUUUCAGAGGGGGAUAACAGCCGGAAACGGCUGCUAAUACCGCAUAAUGCAUUGGAUUCGCAUGUUUCUGAUGCCAAAGAUUUUAUCGCUGAAAGAUGAGCUCGCGUCUGAUUAGCUAGUUGGCGGGGUAACGGCCCACCAAGGCGACGAUCAGUAGCCGGACUGAGAGGUUGAAUGGCCACAUUGGGACUGAGACACGGCCCAG